UAGUUCUCGAGUGAUAACCAGAAAAUGGUUGAAAAACUUGAUGUUUAAUCGCCAUUUUGAAAGUAUUUGCUGGUGCAGCCGAACGCGUUCUUUAAUUAAUUAAUUUUUUUUUAAAUUAAUAUAUGUUUUCGAGUAUAUCUGUCUUUGAAAAUCGAAUAAGCAUGAAGGAGUUUCUAAAAGUGCGCCAAGUGAGAGCUCCGCUUCCAGUUCGCGAUAAAUACGGGAAAAGAUCUGCCGGUUCAUCGUCGAAGUCACUUCAAUAUUGUAAUGAAGAAGCCUAGAAUGACGCUCCCGGUUGUGGUUCCGGCUAAAGAGUAUCGAGAAUAUUCAUCCGGAUGUGGCAUCUUUUCAUUCGUACAUAAUGAAAACCCGAAUGAUGGCGGAGAAGACCCGGAUGAAGAAGCUACACCCAAACACGGUCGAGUAGAAAAUCCGGUUUGGGAAAAGCACAUUCAAACUUGCCUUCACAUUUCAUCGGAAUCUCGCACAUAGGCGAUAAUAUUCAAGACAAAUGGUUCAUAGUAUCGCGGCUGUUUCUUCUGACGCGUUCCGGGUUGGGAACAAAAGUGCCUGAUUUUUAUGGUGAGUUUUUGCUGAUCAAAGCAGUCGAAAAUCUGCCUCGGACAGAUCCGGAAAGCUGUGAGGGGCUAGUUUUCAUCGAGUAUGCUGUUAGUGGGAACCGGUGAGGAGGCAGAAAAGCCAGCAUUUGAGCUAAACACGGUGCUA